GACGAACCGUCCAAACGUUAUUCGGAAUUACUGGGCUUAAAGGGUGCGUAGGCUGCGCUGUAAGUCGGGUGUGAAAUCCCUCAGCUUAACUGAGGAAUUGCGCCCGAUACUGCAGUGCUCGAGGGAGAUAGGGGUCAGCGGAACUGAUGGUGGAGCGGUGAAAUGUGUUGAUAUCAUCAGGAACACCGGUGGCGAAAGCGGCUGACUGGAUCUCUUCUGACGCUGAGGCACGAAAGCUAGGGUAGCGAACGGG
rnacentral:rRNA from 1 species